AUGGGAACUCCCUUGACACCAUUGUUGUACCUCUGCCUACUGCUGGUGCCAUGCCUUCUUCUCUUGCAAGAAGCACAUGCGGCGCGCCAUGGAGGGAUCUCACUGAGGUCUCAACGCAUGGCCCUCCUCCACUGGAAAGCUACACUCGCGAGCCCACCGCUGCAGAUGAGCUCUUGGCAUGAAAACACCAGCCCAUGCAACUGGACAGGCAUCAUGUGCACUGCUGUUCGCCAUGGCCGCCGCAUGCCCUGGGUGGUGACCAACAUCUCCCUACCAGAUGCUGGCAUCCAUGGCACUCUUGGUGAGCUCAACUUCUCGGCUCUUCCAUUCCUCGCAUAUAUUGACCUUCAGAACAACACUCUCCAUGGUGCACUACCGCCUAGUAUCAACUCCUUGUCAGCACUUUCAGUACUUAGCCUUCCCUACAACCAGCUCACAGGGAAAAUUCCUUGUGAGAUUGGUGACCUGCAAAGUCUCAUGUUACUUGAUCUCUCAUUCAACAGACUCACAGGACAUAUCCCUUCAUCUCUGGGCAACCUAACAAUGUUAACUGAUCUUGUCAUUCACCAAAACAUGGUAUCAGGUCCCAUUCCCGAGAAGAUUGGAAGUCUUGUCAACCUACAACUUCUACAGCUAAGCAAUAGCACCUUAAGUGGUUUGAUACCAAAAACCCUUGGAAAUCUGACCCAACUAAAUACUUUAGCCCUAUUUGGUAAUCAACUUUCAGGGCCUAUACCCCAAGAACUAGGAAGGCUAGUCCAUUUGCAAAUUCUUCAACUUGAGUCAAAUGAUCUUUCAGGACCUUUACCUGCAAAUAUAAUUUCAGGCAGCAAACUUCAAUAUCUCGGUGUCUCUCAUAAUAUGUUCAAUGGACCCAUUCCAAGGAGUUUAAAGACAUGUACGAGUUUGACUAAAAUUGACCUUUUGUCGAACCAACUAACAGGAGAUAUAUCUCAGCAUUUUGGUGUAUAUCCACAACUCAUACAGAUGAGCUUGGCAUCGAAUAGACUGUGUGGGCAGAUCCCACCAAAUCUAGGUGCAUCUACCCGACUAACAAUACUAAAUCUAGCAAAAAAUAUGCUCACAGGUUCCAUACCUCCAAUCCUUUAUAAAUUGUCCAACCUAGAAAAACUAAGACUCGAUUAUAGUUUGUGUGGUAACCUCUCUGGCCUGCCACCUUGUGAUUCAACUCCAGUAGUUGGUCACCAUGAGCGAAAGACACUUGGUUUGCUUUUGCCAAUUAUUCCUGUGGUGGGUUUCGGCGUUGUUGCUGCAAUUGUUGUCAUAAUAAUUUUUAGUCGUAACAAGAGAAAACCACUGGAAAGUGUUGCUGCUGAAGGAAGGGACCUAUUCUCCGUUUGGAAUUUUGAUGGAAGAUUAGCAUUUGAUGAUAUUGUAAGGGCAACAAAAGACUUCGACGAGAAGUACAUCAUUGGAACAGGAGGAUACGGCAAAGUCUACAAGGCACAACUCCAAGACGGGCAUCUAGUUGCUGUGAAGAAGCUUCAUCAGACUCAAGAAGAGUUGGAUGACGAAAGAAGAUUUCACAGUGAAAUGGAAAUCUUAUCACAGAUCCGACAACGAAGCAUCGUCAAAAUGUAUGGAUUCUGCUCCCAUCCGGUGUAUAAAUUUCUUGUCUACGAGUAUAUUCAGCGGGGCAGCCUUCACGGGACAUUGGAAAAUGAGGAGCUAGCAAAGGAAUUAGAUUGGCAGAAGAGAAUUACUCUUGCAACUGAUGUGGCUCAAGCAAUAUCUUAUUUGCACCAUGAAUGCAGUCCACCCAUAAUCCAUCGAGAUAUCACGAGCAACAACAUCUUACUUGAUAUAACCUUCAAGGCUUUUGUCUCGGAUUUCGGCACAGCAAGGAUUCUUAAGCCCGAUUCAUCAAACUGGAGUGCACUAGCAGGAACAUAUGGCUACAUAGCUCCUGAACUAUCAUACACAUCUGUUGUGACAGAGAAAUGUGAUGUAUAUAGCUUUGGUGUGGUUGUGCUAGAGCUAGUGAUGGGGAAGCAUCCAAGGGAUAAAUUAGGCAGUAGUUUGCUAAGCGGGAAACAAGCUAUGCUGGUG
rnacentral:rRNA from 1 species